rnacentral:rRNA from 1 species
GCCCAAGAGAUCGGGAUAACACCUGGAAACAGAUGCUAAUACCGGAUAACAACAGAUGAUGCCUAUCAACUGUUUAAAAGAUGGUUCUGCUAUCACUCUUGGAUGGACCUGCGGUGCAUUAGCUAGUUGGUAGGGUAACGGCCUACCAAGGCGAUGAUGCAUAGCCGAGUUGAGAGACUGCUCGGCCACAUUGGGACUGAGACACGGCCCAAACUCCUACGGGAGGCAGCAGCC